rnacentral:lncRNA from 1 species
CACUUGGGUCUCUUUCCUUCAUUCCCCAAUGAGUUUUAAGACUCUCAUUUUAUUGUUUGGCAUUUCCCUCCCUGACCCUCUAGCAUUUUAAAGUGAGGAUCCAUAUCCUUGAGCUUGCUGGCAGAAUCACUGAUGAGAAUCAAGCUUUUUUGCCUGAUACUUAAACAGUGGAAAUAAUGUGUAGUUGAACCAGAUACCCUAAACUUCUCUUAUAGGGAGUAGAGACGGGCUGCUCCUGAACUUUGAACCUGCUUAUGUAAGUGGGUGCCAGGUCUACGGUUGACCAGUGUAAGGACAGAGAGAAUGGGAAGUCAAAUUAGUCUAGAUUUAUAGAUUUGGGAUUUUUUUUUUUUUAAAAAAGACAUUUCCAGUACAAUACUACAUUUAUUUCUUUUUCUUUUUAUAAGGAUUUUUUUUUAACAAAAGUCUCCUAGUUAGAGAUGUUCCAGAAAAUGUCACUUGAAGAAGAUGUAUUGAUUUUAAUCUGGCAUAACACUAGUUACCAUGUUAGAAUCAAUAUUAAGUUGUCACUUAAACUUUAUCUGUAACCCAAAGGUCUGUUGUAAUGGAUUGCCUGACACCCUGUCAUUUGUACGUACCACUAUUGCUGUGUAAAAAUUCUGUAUCAGAAUGACAGUACU